rnacentral:rRNA from 1 species
UACGAAGGGGGCUAGCGUUGCUCGGAAUCACUGGGCGUAAAGGGUGCGUAGGCGGGUCUUUAAGUCAGGGGUGAAAUCCUGGAGCUCAACUCCAGAACUGCCUUUGAUACUGAAGAUCUUGAGUUCGGGAGAGGUGAGUGGAACUGCGAGUGUAGAGGUGAAAUUCGUAGAUAUUCGCAAGAACACCAGUGGCGGAAGGCGGCUCACUGGCCCGAUACUGACGCUGAGGCAC